rnacentral:lncRNA from 1 species
UACACUAUCAACAUCCACUAAUCAUACCUUAACCAUUAAUUAACAUCAUACCCACACAUAUCCAUCUCAGAAAAUCACCACAAGUGGCCCCACUUUCUCGUAUCAAAGGCUUACAGAGUAUUACCCUGGUUUUUUUGUUUGUCGAGCUCAAACAAUCUUAGCGGACACGUCUAGACUUCAAGGAAUGGUCGAACGCAGCUCCUCAAGAAAUGCUUCGGAGAACCAGACGACAAAUGGUAUCCAUCUUCUAUAUCCAGCAAUUUCUCAUCAGCGAGCGCCACCAACAUCCACUGGAAUAUGAAAUGAAGAGAAACAUAGAAAAAAAGGCGUACAAAAAGGCAUGCUCAGAUUUGCAUUCAUGGCGAAAUGAGUCUCAAUCUCGACAAAAUUCAGCAAAUUCUAACACGUUCCUCUAAACAAUCGAGGUCCAAUCGUAGAAUUUCAUGAUCCAUCUCGCAAUGUGAAGACAAUUAAUCACGUAACCACUUUAAGGCCAAGUAUAAGUAGAACCUUUUGGUAAAAGGAAUCCUAUGAUAAACUUCCAAUGACACCACAAGGCUGUGAUCUAGCAUCAAACAAGAUCCCAAUUCUCACAAGUUCAGAUUCUGUUACAUGGCCUGAGUGCUCAAAAUUCAUCGCCAAUUCACAACAUUCUCCUGCAUCCCCAUACAUAAAUGUAUGAAUAAAGUGGCAUCGAAUCAAGUUCGAUACUGAAUUGAAACGAGACAGUCAAGAUCAGCAUCUCUGUCCCUAGAUCUAGUCCAAAACACUUUCAAUCCAUGUAAACCAAGAGCACAAUAGGAACGACUAGCAAUUUCUGAAUGACAUCCGAUGAUGCGUGAAUCGAGAACAAACAAGUAUAACAUGCCAUGAAAAACUUCCAAGUCAAGCAAGAAACGACAAUCAUCCAAACACCGGAAACCAUCAUGCUUCUACGGUUUAGAAACUUAGUCAAACAAGUGUUGAGCAUAAUGAGCGCAGUGCUCGAUAGACAGAAAUACCUAACAAAAAAGAGCAAUAUGACAUGAGACGCUCAGCUAAGCAUCAAUAGAAGGAAAUCAACGAAUCUGAAACUAAUAGCAAACAAUCAAACCAUAAGACUCUCUCGAUUAAACACAGGACAGCGACUCAAUCAAUUCUCGUUAGAAUACAGCGACGAUAUCCUGCGAUGAAGUUAGUCGAUAGAUGUAUUUGUCUGUAAUUAGCUCCAGCUGAAGAUAGCAACCAGUGAAGAAGAAGACAAGUAAUAAUGUUCGCUAACCGGCGGAUUGGCUUAGCGUGGAAAUCUCCGGAAUUGAACGAGUACGUCGCUGUGAGCCUAUCUGAGACGAAGCUCCAUAGAUAUAAAGAAGUUAAGCUGAAACGUUCAAAGAGAAGAAGGCGUUGGUGAGACCGUCCGAGAGAGAAAAAAGGUUCCAAAAUCCGUGGUCGCGAUCAUGGCGCUGUUUGAACACGAUCAGCG